GGCCAAACUACAUCCUUCUCUGUCUGGGGUGUGAGCUGAGCUCUAGCACCAGGGCUCAGGGAGGGGCUGGGUAGCCCCUGGAUGGACACACAUUUGCAUGGACAGCCCCUCCCCUGGCAGAGGGUAGGGAGAAAAGGAGGCCUGGGCAGCCCAGCCCCACUGUGGGCUCAGGGGCUGUGUGCACCAUGGCCUGGACCCCUCUCCUCCUCGUGCUCCUCUCUUACUGCACAGGUUCCCUCUCCCAGCCUGUGCUGACUCAGCCGUCCUCCCUCUCUGCAUCUCCAGGAGCCACAGCCAUACUCACCUGCACCAUGAACAGUGGCUUCAGUGUUGGCAACUACUACAUAAACUGGUACCAACAGAAGCCAGGGAGCCCUAUCCAGUAUAUGCUGCAGUUUAAAUCAGACUCAGACAAGCACCAGGACUCUGGGGUCCCCAGCCGCUUCUCUGGAUCCAAAGACACCUCGGCCAACGCAGGGCUCCUGACCAUCUCUGGGCUACAGCCUGAGGACGAGGCCGACUAUUACUGUGGCACACCUCAUGGCAGUGGGAGCAGCUACAGUUUCGUGUUCGUCUUCCUUCUCCAGCCUCUGUGCUGCUUGAGGGCAGGAACGCCUGACCUUUGUUCUGGGUCAAAGCAACUGCCUGCUCCCGACAACUGUUUGCACAGCUGA